AGGGGCAAAAUGACCACUGUACAGCAAAUAUAAGUCCUUGCCCUAGGCGAGUGUUUUAUGUUCCAGAAGGUAUAGAAAAGGAAAGCUAAUUGAUUGAGGAGGUAAACUUGAUAUAAAUGGAUUCAGCGCAUCUGCUAAUCAGGAAGACCCUAACGUCAACUGAACGUUCAGAAGUAAAGUGAGCAAGAAGGGAAAAGGCUUUUUCAAUUUUUUACGAAUGGAUUUUCAUCGGAACAUGUUCACCAGAACCCUAAGUAAAUUUCGUGCAAACUAUACAAGAACUGUCUGCCUGAAGACUUCCUUAAUUUUGAACUGAUAAAUUAGUGAGAAGAAAGCUAGACAACAGCACCCAGAGCCAAAUAUGGAUUACUCUUGUGGGAUUGGCCUAUUACAUUUUUUAGUGCAUCCAUGACCUCAAGUGCGGAAGUAUUUUUGUAGUGUCGGUCGGCGAACUGUGAAUGUUGAGAUUUACGUUAACCACGAGGCUACGCCUCACUCUUCUCAAAUAGGAAUAAAACAGAAAAUUAAUUUUGUCAAAUUGUACUUUAAGAUAUGUAUUAACUAGUAUGAAAGAUAUUUUUAUAUCAAUAA